rnacentral:rRNA from 1 species
AAUGGGGGCAACCCUGAUCCAGCCAUGCCGCGUGAGUGAAGAAGGCCCUAGGGUUGUAAAGCUCUUUCGCCAGGGAAGAUAAUGACGGUACCUGGUAAAGAAGUCCCGGCUAACUCCGUGCCAGCAGCCGCGGUAAUACGGAGGGGACUAGCGUUGUUCGGAAUUACUGGGCGUAAAGAGUACGUAGGCGGCUUGCCAAGUUGGGUGUGAAAGCCCGGGGCUCAACCCCGGAACUGCAUUCAAAACUGGUUGGCUAGAGAUCGGAAGAGGUAAGUGGAAUUCCCAGUGUAGAGGUGAAAUUCGUAGAUAUUGGGAAGAACACCGGUGGCGAAGGCGACUUACUGGUCCGAUACUGACGCUGAGGUACGAAAGCGUGGGGAGCAAACAGGAUU